GAUGAACGCUAGCGGCAGGCCUAAUACAUGCAAGUCGAACGGGAUCUGAGGGUAGCUUGCUACCCGAUUUGAGAGUGGCGCACGGGUGCGUAACGCGUGAGCAACCUACCCAUAUCAGGGGGAUAGCCCGAAGAAAUUCGGAUUAACACCGCAUAAUAAUACGCUAACACAUGUUGAUGUAUUUAAAUAUUUAUAGGAUAUGGAUGGGCUCGCGUGACAUUAGCUAGUUGGUAAGGUAACGGCUUACCAAGGCGACGAUGUCUAGGGGCUCUGGGAGGAGAAUCCCCAACACUGGUACUGAGACACGGACCAGACUCCUACGGGAGGCAGCAGUGAGGAAUAUUGGUCAAUGGGCGCAAGCCUGAACCAGCCAUGCCGCGUGCAGGAUGACUGCCCUAUGGGUUGUAAACUGCUUUUGUUAGGGAAUAAACCUUCUUACGUGUAAGGAGCUGAAUGUACCUAAAGAAUAAGGAUCGGCUAACUCCGUGCCAGCAGCCGCCGUAAUAC
rnacentral:rRNA from 1 species